rnacentral:rRNA from 2 species
CAUAGUGAUCCGGUGGUUCUGAAUGGAAGGGCCAUCGCUCAACGGAUAAAAGGUACUCCGGGGAUAACAGGCUGAUACCGCCCAAGAGUUCAUAUCGACGGCGGUGUUUGGCACCUCGAUGUCGGCUCAUCACAUCCUGGGGCUGAAGUAGGUCCCAAGGGUAUGGCUGUUCGCCAUUUAAAGUGGUACGCGAGCUGGGUUUAGAACGUCGUGAGACAGUUCGGUCCCUAUCUGCCGUGGGCGCUGGAGAACUGAGGGGGGCUGCUCCUAGUACGAGAGGACCGGAGUGGACGCAUCACUGGUGUUCGGGUUGUCAUGCCAAUGGCACUGCCCGGUAGCUAAAUGCGGAAGAGAUAAGUGCUGAAAGCAUCUAAGCACGAAACUUGCCCCGAGAUGAGUUCUCCCUGAGACUUAGAGUCUCCUGAAGGAACGUUGAAGACGACGACGUUGAUAGGCCGGGUGUGUAAGCGCAGCGAUGCGUUGAGCUAACCGGUACUAAUGAACCGUGAGG